rnacentral:rRNA from 1 species
GCGAGGUGGAGCAAAACUUCAAAAAUGGUCUCAGUUCGGACUGUAGGCUGCAACUCGCCUACACGAAGUUGGAAUUGCUAGUAAUCGUGGAUCAGCAUGCCACGGUGAAUACGUUCCCGGGUCUUGUACACACCGCCCGUCACACCAUGGGAGCUGGUAACACCCGAAGUCAGUAGUCUAACCGCAAGGAGGACGCUGCCGAAGGUGGGAUUAGCGACUGGGGUGAAGUCGUAACAAGGUACC